AGCUUUGCUCAGUGGCAGUAUCGUAGCCAAUGAGGUUUAUCCGAGGCGCGAUUGUUGCUAAUUAAAAUAACAGUUGUAGCCAAAUAUAUCUCAGUAAAAAUAUGAAAGUGCUGAAGCUAAUACACCUUUUGUCCUGUAUAGGA